GGCCAAUUCCCAUUCAUCUUGUGACAUGCUGAGAUGUUGUUUAAGCAUUUCUUAAAAGCAGAGGAGACAUUUCAGGACAAGCACAAACAAAACCUCAAUUUUAAACACAGCAACAAAAGAAGAUCUCUCCCAAGGCUACAAUCAAGUUUCCAACCAGUGCUGGGGUCUCAUCUGAAGUUGCAGAUGGGGAAGGAUCCAUUUCCAAGGAGAAAGUGGAGGAAGGUAACAGGGAACUGAUGGACCUGAGAAAUUAUGAGAUGACAUUACACAUGAUAGAAGCAUGGAGGGUCAAUCUGAGAGCAGGAACCAAACCUGGAAGGAGGUUGCCCACUCCAGUGAUGGAUGGAAACAGAGGGCUUGAGCCACGCAUUCCGGGAAGCAAACUCACUCAGAAGGACAAUGCAGAUAGUGGAGUGCAGUUUAUUACACCGGCGGGCCCAAGGCAGAGUCUCCUCUUAACCAAGGACCCGGACCAGCAUUUGUGAAAAUCUUUUAUACCCCAUGUGUACAUGUCCAAACCCACCACCCCAAUUCCCUUGAGACUUACAUAAACAAAGGUAGGGUAAA